AGAGUUUGAUCCUGGCUCAGGAUGAACGCUGGCGGCGUGCUUAACACAUGCAAGUCGAACGAAGCGAUUUAGCGGAAGUUUUCGGAUGGAAGUUAAAUUGACUGAGUGGCGGACGGGUGAGUAACGCGUGGGUAACCUGCCUCACACAGGGGGACAACAGUUAGAAAUGGCUGCUAAUACCGCAUAAGCGCACAGCUUCGCAUGAAGCAGUGUGAAAAACUCCGGUGGUGUGAGAUGGACCCGCGUCUGAUUAGCUAGUUGGUAGGGUAAGGGCCUACCAAGGCGACGAUCAGUAGCCGA
rnacentral:rRNA from 1 species